rnacentral:rRNA from 1 species
UACCUGAAGAAAAAGCAUCGGCUAACUCCGUGCCAGCAGCCGCGGUGAUACGAAGGAUGCAAGCGUUAUCCGGAAUCAUUGGGCGUAAAGGGUCCGCAGGUGGCCAAUCAAGUCGGCUGUUAAAGACCGGGGCUUAACUCCGGGCAGGCAGUGGAAACUGAUUAGCUAGAGUACGGUAGGGGUAGAGGGAAUUCCCAGUGUAGCGGUGAAAUGCGUAGAUAUUGGGAAGAACACCGGUGGCGAAAGCGCUCUACUAGGCCGAGACUGACACUGAGGGACGAAAGCUAGGGUAGCGAAAGGGAUUAGAUACCCCUGUAGUCUUAGCUGUAAACGAUGGAUACUAGGUGUAGCUCGUAUCGACCCCAGCUGUGCCGAAGCUAACGCGAUAAGUAUCCCGCCUGGGGAGUACGCACGCAAGUGUGAAACUCAAAGGAAUUGACGGGGGCCCGCACAAGCGGUGGAGUAUGUGGUUUAAUUCGAUGCAACGCGAAGAACCUUACCAGGGCUUGACAUGUCGCGAAUCUAGCGGAAACGUUAGAGUGCCUUAGGGAAUGCGAACACAGGUGGUGCAUGGCUGUCGUCAGCUCGUGUCGUGAGAUGUUGGGUUAAGUCCCGCAACGAGCGCAACCCUCGUCCUUAGUUGCCAAUAUUAAGUUAAGCACUCUAGGGAUACUGCCGGGGACAACUCGGAGGAAGGUGGGGAUGACGUCAAGUCAGCAUGCCCCUUACGUCCUGGGCGACACACGUACUACAAUGGUUGGGACAAAGGGCAGCAAGCUCGCGAGAGUAAGCGAAUCUCAUCAAACCCAGCCACAGUUCAGAUUGCAGGCUGCAACUCGCCUGCAUGAAGUAGGAAUCACUAGUAAUCGCAGGUCAGCAUACUGCGGUGAAUUCGUUCCCGGGCCUUGUACACACCGCCCGUCACACCAUGGAAGCUGGCUACGCCCGGAGUCGUUACCCUAACCCUAAGGGGAGGGGGAUGCCGAAGGUAGAGCUAGUGACUGGGGUGAAGUCGUAACAAGGUAGCCGUACCUGAAGGUGUGGCUGGAUCACCUCCUUU